CGUGAACGCUGGCGGUAGGCCUAACACAUGCAAGUCGAACGGCAGCACAGUAAGAGCUUGCUCUUACGGGUGGCGAGUGGCGGACGGGUGAGGAAUACAUCGGAAUCUACUUUUUCGUGGGGGAUAACGUAGGGAAACUUACGCUAAUACCGCAUACGACCUACGGGUGAAAGCAGGGGAUCUUCGGACCUUGCGCGAUUGACUGAGCCGAUGUCGGAUUAGCUAGUUGGCGGGGUAAAGGCCCACCAAGGCGACGAUCCGUAGCUGGUCUGAGAGGAUGAUCAGCCACACUGGAACUGAGACACGGUCCAGACUCCUACGGGAGGCAGCAGUGGGGAAUAUUGGACAAUGGGCGCAAGCCUGAUCCAGCCAUACCGCGUGGGUGAAGAAGGCCUUCGGGUUGUAAAGCCCUUUUGUUGGGAAAGAAAAGCAGCAGGUUAAUACCCCGCUGUUCUGACGGUACCCAAAGAAUAAGCACCGGCUAACUUCGUG
rnacentral:rRNA from 1 species